GGAAAGAUAUGUAAAAAUUUGUUAUGUUAAAUCGUCAGGAAAGCAAAUUAUAAGUGUCGAAUCGGCGACACCCGACUUUGACGUCGACGCUCAUCAAAAGUUGACGGAAAAACCAAAUUUUAGAUGUAAAAAGAAGAAAAUUUAAAAUAUUAAAAGUUAAGACGCAGUUUAGAAAGCAAAACGAAACUAGAUAAAAAAAUGUCUAGAUGAGCGAAGGUGUCAUAGUCAACAAUUAAACGCGAUCAGAUUCGAAAAGAUGGUGUCGGAUAAACCAUCUCCAGCCGACCUUUUCCACGAACUUAACGAAGCUCCAUUUACACCUGGAGACAGGUGUAUGAGCAAUUGGAAAACGGUGAUGUAAGAACUAUCCAAUUGACAAGAAGCCGAUCGCAAAAACCCUAUAAAAACGCAAAAAUCAAGGACAACGAAACUUCCACUAAGACUUUUCCACCUAGACUACCUGUUGUGUUCGUUUGUCGACAGCUGUCGUGUUUCCUUUCAUCUUUUGUGUGCUGUCACUUCAGAUCUCGAACUUCUCACUCGACGCAGUCACGGGGCCCCUCCAGCGUAGGACCAGAUCGACACCGAAAACAACUUACGAAGACAACCCGAAGUUCUGAACUUAAGGACCUUUGCCAACAAAAAUUAUAUUCUAAAUUUUAUGAAGAGAUUUGCAAACGUGGCAUUGAAACUUUCAAUGGGAGGAUUUUUCGUCAUCACUAAGAAAUUUCCAAUCAGAUUGGUGAAAUCGUUGCAUUCUGUAUUCUCCGGGUUGUUAAAGAUGCGAGAUAUAUCGUACCAAAAAGAAGUAUGUGAUGAACUUAGAAUUAUUAACAGAACAAAUAUUUUAGCAGUUGAAGGAAUGUGGUGAUAAUGUAAUUGAUAAAGCAGAAAACAUUAUCAUACAAUGUAUUAUUUUAAUGAGUUAAAAUAUGGUUCUUUAAUAUGAUGUCAUUGGAUUUCACAUUACGACUUACAAUUUUAUAUACUGAUCUUAUGUUCAGUGAGAGAAGUUUUAUCAGUUAAACCAAUGAGAUUCAAGUUAUAAAGACAUUUCACUGUAUUUAUUGAAGUAUACUUUCUGGCUCUAAAACAAUUUACGGUUUGUUUGGUAAAAACUAAAAAAGAAAAUUUAAAACUCUUUGAAAAAAAAUUUCGGAAUCGGCCACAUAGUGCAGUUUUCCUCAUCUAGCUUACAAUAGGGACCACAUUACCAUAAAUAUUCCAUCGGAUAACGCCUCCAUUGGUAAACUGUUCAACUGUUGUUUCCU